rnacentral:rRNA from 1 species
AGGACGAACGCUGGCGGCGUGCUUAACACAUGCAAGUCGAGCGGUAAGGCCUUUCGGGGUACACGAGCGGCGAACGGGUGAGUAACACGUGGGUGAUCUGCCCUGCACUUCGGGAUAAGCCUGGGAAACUGGGUCUAAUACCGGAUAUGACCUCCUAUCGCAUGGUGGGUGGUGGAAAGAUUUAUCGGUGCAGGAUCGGGCCCGCGGCCUAUCAGUCUUGUUGGUGGGUAAUGGCCUACAGGCGACGACGGGUA